UACAGAGGUCCCGAGCGUUGUUCGGAUUCACUGGGCGUAAAAGGUGCGUAGGUGGCCUGAAAAGUUUGAUGUGAAAGCUCAGGGCUUAACCCUGAAAUGGCAUUGAAUACUGUCGGGCUGGAGGUUUGGAGGGGGGACUGGAAUUCUUGGUGUAGCAGUGAAAUGCGUAGAUAUCAAGAGGAACACCAGUGGCGAAGGCGAGUCCCUGGACAACACCUGACACUGAGGCACGAAAGCUAGGGGAGCAAACAGG
rnacentral:rRNA from 1 species